ensembl:lncRNA
CUAGGAUCAAAGAAAAUUGGAUGCUCAAUUUGGAGUGUCAUCGUAAAGGGGUGUGAAUACUUACAUAAAUGUGAAGACAUUUCUAAAGACAUGUUUUCACUGUCAUUAUUAGUGUGUAGAUGGACGAGGGGAAACACUUUACAUUCAGGCUGUAACAAUGUGGAUUAAGUCUGAAGGCACAUCCUCUUCUAGAUAAUGAGAUGGAUCCUCUGAGGGUGUUUUCACAUAGUCCUCUUCAGAGGACUGAGAUCGGUUCUUUUAAAGUCAACUCUUGAGGGGGAUUUUUUGGGGAAAAUAGCUGUUCUCUCUAUUCACACUGCCCCUGACUUUGAAUGACUCAACUCUUUUGCCAGUUCACUUUAUUUUUUUAUAGGUCAGUCCUCUUUGCAUUCACAUUGCUAUGUUUAGAAAGGAACAUUCACUCAAUGUACUCGUGGUUUAUACAAAGUGCAGGACAAGUCAUUCCAUCAGAACGUGUUAUCGGACAGCUAUAUAUAAACCUACUUAUAUGUUGCAAGCUAAUAGAUUGCAUUUAGUUAAGAUGCAACAAUUGUAAUCAGAAGAUACUAUUAACAUUGGCAACAAUAAAUAGAAUAACUGCAGAUUCAAUAAUGCUGUAAUUGGGUGUACAAUUUUCAAUCUAGGCUACUGCCCCUUUAAGAGCCUGAAUUGAUUUCGUACCCUAAGUUCUGAUUCUCACCAAAUAUGUUGUCUUCUCACACUAUUCAAACCCCACAAUCUAAUCAGCUUAUGAAGCUCUCAGCCUAUAGAUCAAAUAUUCAAACCAUUUUGGACAACAAUUCUGCAUGUGAGGGGUUAUGUCAGGGGAAACAGUGUUGCAGUAGUCUAGUGUGAGGGGUUAUGGCAGGGGAAGCAGUAGUCUAGUGUGAGGGGUUAUGGCAGGGGAAGCAGUAGUCUAGUGUGAGGGGUUAUGGCAGGGGAAACAGUGUGGCAGUAGUCUAGUGUGAGGGGUUAUGGCAGGGGAAACAGUGUUGAAGUAGUCUAGUGUGAGGGAUUAUGGCAGGGGAAACAGUAGUCUAGUGUGAGGGGUUAUGGCAGGGGAAACAGUAGUCUAGUGUGAGGGGUUAUGGCAGGGAAAACAGUAGUCUAGUGUGAGGGGUUAUGGCAGGGGAAACAGUAGUCUAGUGUGAGGGGUUAUGGCAGGGGAAACAGUAGUCUAGUGUGAGGGGUUAUGGCAGGGGAAACAGUGUUGAAGUAGUCUAGUGUGAGGGGUUAUGGCAGGGGAAACAGUAGUCUAGUGUGAGGGGUUAUGGCAGGGGAAACAGUGUUGAAGUAGUCUAGUGUGAGGGGUUAUGGCAGGGGAAACAGUGUUCUAGUGUGAGGGGUUAUGGCAGGGGAAACAGUAGUCUAGUGUGAGGGGUUAUGGCAGGGGAAACAGUGUAGCAGUAGUCUAGUGUGAGGGGUUAUGGCAGGGGAAACAGUAGUCUAGUGUGAGGGGUUAGUCAGGGGGAAACAGUGUUGCAGUAGUCUAGUGUGAGGGGUUAUGGCAGGGGAAACAGUAGUCUAGUGUGAGGGGUUAUGGCAGGGGAAACAGUAGUA